CUCUCCAUUCGCAACACACACUGCCCCGUUGGGAGUCAUCGAGAUUUAGUGAGAUGGAUAAGAUUGUUUCCAUAUGCUUUGAACUUUUUCUUUUGGGGGAUGUCUUCUUAACGUGUUGCAGAUUGAGACCAGUUUA
ensembl:ncRNA ZK563.11 ncRNA